rnacentral:rRNA from 1 species
CCUACGGGGAGCAGCAGUGGGGAAUAUUGGACAAUGGGCGAAAGCCUGAUCCAGCCAUGCCGCGUGUGUGAAGAAGGCCUUCGGGUUGUAAAGCACUUUCAGUGGGGAAGAAAGCCUUGGGGCUAAUACCCUCGAGGAAGGACAUCACCCACAGAAGAAGCACCGGCUAACUCCGUGCCAGCAGCCGCGGUAAUACGGAGGGUGCGAGCGUUACUCGGAAUUACUGGGCGUAAAGCGCGCGUAGGCGGUCUGAUAAGCCGGUUGUGAAAGCCCCGGGCUCAACCUGGGAACGGCAUCCGGAACUGUCAGGCUAGAGUGCAGGAGAGGAAGGUAGAAUUCCCGGUGUAGCGGGGAAAUGCGUAGAGAUCGGGAGGAAUACCAGUGGCGAAGGCGGCCUUCUGGACUGACACUGACGCUGAGGUGCGAAAGCGUGGGUAGCAAACAGGAUUAGAUACCCUUGUAGUC